rnacentral:sRNA from 1 species
CACAGUCUGAACAUGGACCUCGAACUUUAGAUAAUCUCAUUAAUCCUCCACUCAACCUUCAAGAAACUCAAGUCACUAUAGAAGAAAUCACUCCUCUUGUCCCCCCACAAUCAGGAGAUAAAGGGCAAGAAGAUCUCACAAGCUAUUUUCUUGAAGCACUUCUAAAAUACAUAGUCAUUCAGGUAAAAAGUUUAGAAUGGAAGAACAAAGAAAACCAAGAAAGGGGAUUUUCAUUUUUGUUUUCACAUUUUAAGAAAUAUUACUUGCCUUAUAUUUUUCCAAACAUCUGUAAGGAAAACAGUUUAUAUCAUCCUAUACUUGACAUCCCGCAGAUGAGACCAAAGCCACAUUAUGUCAUGAUAAAGAAAGAUGCUGAAACCAAUGAAGCAAUCUAUUGUACAAAGGAGCCUUUCAUUAAGGCUCGUGUUAUUGUCAUUCGUUGGCUGGUUUCUUUCUGGCUGGAGCCAAAACCACAUACAGGACCUCAUAUUCCUGGGAUGGAAGGUGAAGUCUUGCCAAAGAAUAUUCAGAGAGCAGCUGCUAGUUUAGUAUCCAGAGAAGAAAGCAAAAAUGAUAAUGCUGAUAAAGCAGACAGAACUACAGAACCCGAACAGUCUCAUUCCAAUACAAGCACUCUCACGGAGCGAGAACCUAGCUCAUCUAGUCUCUGUAGUAUUGAUGAAGAACAUCUCACAGACAUUGAAAUAGUUCGCAGAGUUUUUUCUUCUAAAAGGAGUAAUGUAAACUUUGUGACAGAGAUAUUUCGUCAGGCAUUUUUAUUACCAAUUUGUGAAGCAGCAGCUAUGAGAAAAGUGGUAAAAGUAUAUCAAGAAUGGAUCCAACAAGAGGAAAAACCUUUGUUCAUGCAAGAGCCUGAAGAAAUUGUGAUCACUUCUUCAGACCUCCCUUGCAUUGAAAAUGUCACAGACCAUGAUAUUUCAAUGGAAGAAGGAGAAAAAAGAGAAGAGGAAAAUGGGACCAAUACUGCUGAUCAUGUUCGAAAUUCCAGUUGGGCAAAAAACGGCUCCUACCAAGGUGCUCUUCAUAACGCCUCUGAAGAAGCCACAGAACAAAACAUACGAGCUGGUACCCAGGCAGUUUUGCAGGUGUUCAUUAUAAACUCAUCAAAUAUAUUUCUUCUUGAACCUGCAAAUGAAAUAAAAAAUCUUCUGGAUGAACACACAGAUAUGUGUAAACGCAUUCUUAACAUUUAUCGGUACAUGGUUGUACAAGUAUCAAUGGACAAAAAGACUUGGGAACAGAUGCUGCUUGUGUUGCUCAGAGUCACGGAAUCUGUACUGAAGAUGCCAUCACAAGCUUUUCUACAGUUCCAAGGGAAAAAAAAUAUGACCUUGGCAGGUCGACUUGCAGGACCACUUUUCCAGACCCUUAUAGUUGCCUGGAUCAAAGCAAACCUAAAUGUGUACAUCUCCCGAGAACUUUGGGAUGACUUACUGUCAGUAUUGUCAUCGUUGACCUAUUGGGAAGAGUUGGCCACUGAGUGGUCACUGACUAUGGAGACAUUAACUAAAGUUUUAGCUAGGAAUUUAUAUAGUUUGGAUCUCAGUGAUUUACCAUUGGAUAAGCUGAGUGAACAGAAACAAAAAAAGCACAAAGGGAAAGGAGUUGGACAUGAAUUUCAGAAAGUUUCAGUUGACAAGUCAUUUUCUAGAGGAUGGAGUCGUGAUCAGCCUGGCCAAGCCCCAAUGAGACAGAGGAGUGCAACAACCACUGGUUCUCCAGGAACCGAAAAGGCGAGGAGUAUAGUACGGCAAAAAACUGUCGCCAUGAGAAGCCGAUCCAUUGGUGAAUGUGCUCUGCCAUCGGCCUAUAUACGCAGUGCUAAAAGUGCUCCUGUUCUGAUCCAUACUUCCAAACCCUUCUUGCCUGAUAUUGUUCUCACUCCCCUUUCUGAUGAGCUUUCAGAUAUUGAUGAUGCUCAAAUACUUCCCCGCUCAACUAGAGUCAGACAUUUUUCACAAAGUGAAGAAACUGGAAAUGAAGUUUUUGGUGCUUUGAAUGAGGAGCAGCCAUUGCCUCGAAGUAGCAGCACUUCUGACAUCUUGGAACCAUUCACUGUUGAACGAGCCAAAGUCAAUAAAGAGGACAUGAGCCAAAAACUGCCUCCUCUUAAUAGUGAUAUUGGCAGCAGCAGUGCUAAUGUUCCUGAUCUGAUGGAUGAGUUUAUAGCAGAACGACUUCGAAGUGGUAAUGCCUCGACUAUGACAAGAAGAGGAAGUAGUCCAGGCAGCCUGGAAAUUCCCAAAGACCUCCCUGAUAUUCUAAACAAGCAGAACCAGAUGCGCCCUAUUGAUGACCCAGGUGUGCCCUCAGAAUGGACUUCUCCUGCCAGUGCAGGGAGCAGUGAUCUUAUCAGCUCAGAUAGUCAUUCGGAUUCUUUCAGCGCUUUCCAAUAUGAUGGCCGAAAAUUUGACAAUUUUGGCUUUGGAGCCGACACUGGGGUUACGUCCUCUGCUGAUGUGGAUUCAGGUUCUGGCCAUCAUCAGAGUGCUGAAGAGCAGGAAGUGGCUAGUCUAACUACUCUUCAUAUAGAUUCUGAAACAAGCAGUCUUAAUCAGCAAGCUUUCUCUGCUGAAGUUGCAACUAUUACUGGUUCAGAAAGUGCUUCCCCAGUCCAUUCACCUCUGGGCUCCAGGUCACAGACUCCUUCCCCUUCUACACUGAAUAUAGAUCACAUGGAACAGAAGGAUCUGCAGCUCGAUGAGAAGCUCCACCACUCUGUUCUUCAGACACCAGAUGAUCUAGGCAAUAUUUCAAAAUUAGAUAUUUACCUUUUUUCUUUUAGGGCGUCAGUGUCAGGAGAUCAUAAAUAAGCCAUCUUACAUUUGAUUAUAUAUGAUUAUUGUAAAUAUUUUGGACUUUUCUAAGUCCUUUGGAAAUUUGUUAAUAUAACUUUUUUCUUGUUCUUAAAGAUAUUUGUUGUCUGAGUUUUAUUCAUUUUAUUAUAGUUGAUUAGAAUCCUCAAAUUAGUUAUUGCAUUAUUUUCAAGUAUUAUAUUAUCAUUUAUUGAUAUUGGUAGUGUUUCCUAAAACAGGAAAUACAUAAUUUGGCAUCCUUAUUCUUAGUUUUAUACCUAAAGAACCUAGUAACUCACAGGAGAACGUAGUAACAUUAUCACUUGUUAAUCAAGCUUUCAGUGAAACAGUUUAUCAAACCAUUUUUUUUAUGUUGAUUCAGCAAAUUUGUCAACUAAAUUUAAUUUAAAAGUAGAGGUCCAAAUGAAUAUUUUCAAGUAAAUGUUAAAAAGUGACUUGGGAAACCUAAGUAACUGCCAAGUUUUUUUUAAAGUUAUUUUUGCUAGAUUUUGUAUGAUGUAACAAACAUCAGACAAAUACGCACAUUUAUGGCAUAUGCAAAUAUGCCAUAAAUUGGUCAAAGACACAGUUAAUGAGAUAUUUACAAUGAAUGAAAAGCUAGUUUUCAUUGAUAAGGUAGCACAUUUAUUCUCUGACGAAAGGAAGAAAUUUAAAACUAUAUAACUUCUAAACUUUUUUUAAGAAACCCGUUUAUUUUAAAACUGUAGAGGUGAGGUUUCACCAUGUUGCCCAGGCUGGUCUUAAGCUCCUGAGCUCAAGUGACCCGCCUGCCUCGGCCUCCCAAGAUUACAGGUGUGAGCCACCACACCCGGCCCAAGGGACCCAUUCGUUAACAUGCAAUUGCCUUGUAAUUAUGUAGCCCUAAUUUUCUGGUUUGUGGAUUAUUUCUGACCUUUUCUUUUUCUCCUUUGAUCUGCAGUUGUUUAUUUGUUUACAGUUAUUUCCCCAACAUUUGGGAAAAAAACUUCAGUUAUAGAAGUGUUUCAAGGCUAGUAAAAUGAAUGCACAUAAACCCUUUAUAUAAAUUCAUCAAUUAAUAUUUUGCCACUUUGUCUAUAUUUACACACAGCACAUAUAUGCACAAAAUAGCCUGCCCUUCCCACAUGUCUCCCAAACCUUUUAUUUUUGCUGAGGCAUGUAAGAGGAAAUUGCAAAUAUCAGAUCCUUCAGACCUAAACAUGUCAGUGGAUAUGUCCUAAUAAUAAGUGUAUGUUUUCUGCGUAACCACAAUAUAAUGGCCACAUUCAUGAUAUUUAACAUAGAUACAUUGCUGUUAUUUUAGUCUAUAGUCGUAAGUCCUCAAUUGUCCCAAUAAUGCCCUUUAUAGCUACCCCACACCGUCAGCAAUCCAAUAAAGAAUUUAAUCAGGCUGGGCACCGUGGCUCACGCCUGUCAUCCCAGCACUUUGGGAGGCAAAGGCAGGUGGAUCACCUGAGGUCAGGAGUUCGAGACCAGUCUGGUCAACAUGGUGAAACCCUGUCUCUACUAAAAAUACAAAAAUUAGCUGAUCAUGGUGGCACACGCCUGUCAUCCCAGCUACUCGGUAGGCUGAGGCAGGAAAAUUACUUAAACCUGGGAGGUGGAGGUUGCAGUGAACUGAGGUCGUGCUGCCACUGUACUCCAACCUGGGUAACAGAGUGAGACUGUCUC